rnacentral:rRNA from 1 species
AUAGCGGCGACGUGAGCGGUCCGCCGCCCGCGACGUCGCAAGAAUCCACUGAACCUUAUCAUUUAGAGGAAGGAGAAGUCAUAAAAAGGUUUCCAUAGGUGAACCUACGGAAGGAUCAUUG